UCAGAUAGUCGGGGAACUCGACUAUAGCGUUCUCUCUUGUUUUAACCUUAUUACUAGCCGAGAGAGUCAGACGAGAGUCUAAUCUGAAGCGUCCACUUGUCCUCUGUACAAUUAACAAAUAAGUUAAGUGGGCUAUUCUCUGAAAAAGCAAGUCGUUUUCAGAGUGUCCAUAGAAUAUGAAGAUCUCUUAACUUGAAAUCGCUUAGUAAGGACAGUCGCAAAACAGCAGCGGCAGAUUUCCGAAUAUGAUGCAAUAAAGACUGUAAAUUUAUGUAGCUCACAAAUCCAUCAAAAUGUUCGAAAAGGUGUGACCACUACGACAGUCUAUCACGGACAUAGCCGGGCCCGAAAAAGUGAGGAAAGAUGGUCUGCGGAUGAAGAGCGGACUCCUACACCCAAUGAAUUGCACUAAAUUCAGAAACGUGCUGGGCAUAUCAAGAUCUAUAGACAGCCGGCUACUUAAAGACUUUGCAUUGCUUUAGAAAAUGUCAUAAAUCUUGCUGGUCGAAGCCGAAUCGAGUCACGCAUUAUAAUGACCUGGGCAGAUCCAUUUAACAAGUCCAAAGUGAACUUGUUUUCAACAAUACAAUUUGCUUAUAAAUAGCAUAAAAUACAAUUAAA